GUGAAUCAUCGAAGUGCUGUAUCAUCAGAAAAGUGUGUUCUGGCUGGACGGUUUGUGUGUACUGAAUGCUGGCGCUUAGUUCAUGGAGUAUCCAGAUCAAGAUAUUUUGAACAGAAGAAAUCAUCUUCACCCUCAGCAGAUGGUAGAAAAGGGAUGAAGUAUGGCCACCAACGGUACUCCGAGUUGGCAAAUUAUUUGGAAAGUUUAGGCGGGAAACAAGGAGAGAAGCUCCCAGACAAACCGAAAAUCACCCUUCCCACUUGCCUGACUCAGAAGAACACUUACGAGGAGUAUGUUGCCAGCCACUCCAAUCCAUACUGUUUUAGGCAUUUCCAGAGGGUCUGGAAGGAAAGGUUUCCAGACAUGUGAGCAUCAGAGAAAAUCACCUUCACUGAGUGCAAACAAUGUGCAAUGAUUCGCCAAUUAAAGUCGCAACGACUGUCAAAGGAGCAGCUCCUCAAAGUUGAAGACCAAAAAGGG